AAGGAAGGAGUGCGGGACAUUUGGACCCUUGCCUGCCACCAGCUCGCUGGGUGGUCCUGAGCAGCCUGUGACCCCGCCGACCCUCGACUCUCGGGAGUGCCUCUGCUUUCUGCAUCAGGCUCCCCAGCUCCUCCCACAUCCCUGAACUGGUGAGAGGGCCAGGAAUGCUGGUACAAAUACCCGGGGCUCGCACUUUCUGGGCUGCGGGUUCAAAGGCUCUUGUAAAGCCUUGUCUUCCCUGGAACCUCGAAGUCAAAUUCCUCACGGGCAGUGGGGCCGGUGGAGAACUGGGGGCAAUGCUGCCCUCUGCUGGUAUCUGGGGGACUUAUAUUCAUGGGUGGCCCACUGAGGGUGUGAAUCUGGUGGGGAGGUGAACCCCCUACCCCCAACAGGGCUCAGUUUAUUGCUUUAGGCAAGUGGAGCCUGGGAAAAGCAAGUCCAAGAUAUUUGCCAAAAAUAAAACUUGGUCUUGGCCUCAGUUUCCCCAGAUGAAAAGAGAAGGCAAUGGUGAUGGCUUUUCUUUUAGCUCACUGAGAUAAUGUGAGUUUUGAUUUUGUACGCUUAUGAUAACAACAGUAAUACUAGUUAAUAUUGUUGAGUGCUUGCCCCAAACCAGUAGUAUUCUAUGCUCUGUAGACACUGUCUUCCUUCAGCUUUAUUAUUAUUUUGCAGUACUGGGGAUUGAACCCAGGACUUCAUGCAUGCUAGCUAGGCAAGUGCUCCACUACUGAACUAAAUCCCCAGUAUUCCACUUCCCCUUUUUAAAAAAUUUGAGACAAGAUCUCUGUUAGUUGCUGAGGUUGGCCUCAAAUUUGAGAUCUUUCUGCCUCAGCCUCCAGAGUACUUCUUCUUCUUUGGCAUAAUAGGGGUCAUGACAAUACCAACCAGAAAUUUUUUUGUGUGUGUGUUGGGCAUUGCUGUGUGUGCCUCUAAUCCCAGGUACUUGGGUCUCUGGGGAUGGGAAGAGUGCCUUGGGGACUCACACUUUGCAGCUCCAGAGGGCAGAUCUUGCAGAGAACCCAGGGGUUCUGUCUGUUCUGCCUUAGUGCAUGUUUCUGAACUGUGGUUUACCUCCUCCUUGAUUGUAAGAAUGAUGAGGGAACAAUAUGCAUUUAACAUAGACUUGCAUUGGUUCAGGAGAGACUUUUACCAACCCAUGAAUGUUUGGAGAUUUCUGACCUUUAAAGAGCAAUUCAAUGUAUGGAUUCCUUAUAAUAAAGGCUCACAGUUCUGCAGAAAGUGCCUACCUUUCUUUCUUUCUUUAUUUGUACCCACCAGGGAUUGAAUCCAGGGGUGCUUAACCACUGAGCAACAUCCUCAUCCAUUUUUAUUUUGAGACAGCGUCUCUCUGAGUUGCUUAGGGUCUCCCUAAGUAGUUGAGGCUGGCACUGAACUUGUGAUCCUCCUGCCUCAACCUCCUGAGUUGCUGGGAUUACAGGUGUGCACCAUUGCCCCCAGCUAGGAAGUGUCUUUGUUUGGAGGUUCUAGCAGGGGAGCUUAGCUACUAUGUACACUUGAAGAAUGAUUCUUCUUUAUCAGGGAAGGUUGUCCUUUGACUAAGCUGGAAGCUUCAGGAGGAACACACAUGGAGUAGUGAGGGAGGAAGGGAACAUCCACCUAGCCAGCCAGAUCAGUUGAAUCAAUCCUGGUGAUCACUGGGGUGACAGAUGUAGCAGCCAC
rnacentral:lncRNA from 1 species